GAAGGUGGCAAGCGUUGUUCGGAUUUACUGGGCGUACAGGAAGCGUAGGCGGUUGGAUAAGCCCUCCGUGAAAUCUCCAGGCUUAACCUGGAAAGUGCAGAGGGGACUGUUCAGCUAGAGGAUGGGAGAGGAGCGCGGAAUUCCCGGUGUAGCGGUGAAAUGCGUAGAGAUCGGGAGGAAGGCCGGUGGCGAAGGCGGCGCUCUGGAACAUUUCUGACGCUGAGGCUCGAAAGCGUGGGGAGCAAACAGGAUUAGAUACCCUGGUAGUCCACGCCUUAAACGAUGGAUACUAAGUGUCGGCGGGUUACCGCCGGUGCCGCAGCUAACGCAGUAAGUAUCCCGCCUGGGAAGUACGGCCGCAAGGUUG
rnacentral:rRNA from 1 species